GUUCCAUUCGGGCAACUGUUGCUCACCCCGGCGCGUGGCUGAUGCUUCCUUCGCAAUGGUUUAGGAGUUGACGUGGUUGUGUCACAAAUAUGAAACAGCUGGAUCCCUCAUAACUGACACCAGCAACACUGGAAUCUGCCGGGAACUGGUGCUGUUCCCAGAGGUCCUGAGGGGCUGUGAGUGCUCUGGAGCAGAGACACUGCUCAGGAGUUGUAGGGAUGGAACCUGCCACUGGGCAAAUUCAGGUUCCCAGCAAACUCCAGUCCUGCAGCUCUACAGCUCUUUGGUGAACAGUGCUCCAGUGGUGCUACUCUGAGCAUCUUAACUGAAUGUUCCUACCCUGCAACAC